rnacentral:rRNA from 1 species
ACCUUUGAUUGACACUUCGGUUGAUUUCAAAGGCGGAAAGCGGCGGACGGGUGAGUAACGCGUAGGCAACCUGCCCUUGCAGAGGGAUAGCCUCGGGAAACCGGGAUUAAAACCUCAUAAUGCUGAUCCUACACAUGUUGGAUCAGCCAAAGAUUUAUCGGCAAGGGAUGGGCCUGCGUCUGAUUAGCUGGUUGGUGGGGUAACGGCCUACCAAGGCAAUGAUCAGUAGCCGACCUGAGAGGGUGAUCGGCCACAUUGGAACUGAGACACGGUCCAAACUCCUACGGGAGGCAGCAGUGGGGAAUAUUGCACAAUGGGCGAAAGCCUGAUGCAGCAACGCCGCGUGAGCGAUGAAGGCGGAUUCGUCGUAAAGCUCUGUCCUUGGGGAAGAAGAACUGACGGUACCCUUGGAGGAAGCCCCGGCUAAAUACGUGCCAGCAGCCGCGGUAAUACGUAUGGGGCGAGCGUUAUCCGGAAUUAUUGGGCGUAAAGAGUACGUAGGUGGUUUUUUAAGCGGGAGGUUUAAGGCUACGGCUUAACCGUAGUUCGCCUCUCGAACUGGAAGACUUGAGUGCAGGAGAGGAAAGCGGAAUUCCUAGUGUAGCGGUGAAAUGCGUAGAUAUUAGGAGGAACACCGGUGGCGAAGGCGGCUUUCUGGAC